rnacentral:rRNA from 1 species
AAUAUUGGACAAUGGGCGAAAGCCUGAUCCAGCCAUGCCGCGUGUGUGAAGAAGGUAUUCGGAUUGUAAAGCACUUUAAGAGGGGAGGAAGGGGAUGAAGCUAAUACCUCCAAUCUUCUACGUUACCAACAGAAUAAUCACCGGCUACAUCUAUGCCAGCAGCCGCGGUAAGACAGAGGGUGCAAGCGUUAAUCGGAAUUACUGGACGUAAAGCACGCGUAGGUGGUUCAGUAAGAUGGAAGUGAAAUCCCCGGGCUUAACCUGGGAACUGCUUUCAUAACUGCUGAGCUAGAGUACGGUAGAGGGUAGUGGAAUUUCCUGUGUAGCGGUGAAAUGCGUAGAUAUAGGAAGGAACACCAGUGGCGAAGGCGACUACCUGGACUGAUACUGACACUGAGGUGCGAAAGCGUGGGGAGCAAACAGG